rnacentral:hammerhead_ribozyme from 1 species
AUCCAGCUGACCGGUCCCAAAUAGGACGAAACGCGAGUCCUGGAU